rnacentral:misc_RNA from 1 species
UCCGGUUUGUCACCGGCAGUUUCCCAAGAGUGCGGAUGCCUUGCGGCACCGUGGCAACAUGGGAUAAGGGUUGCGCUCGUUGCGGGACUUAACCCAACAUCUCACGACACGAGCUGACGACAACCAUGCAGCACCUCUACAGGCUCCCUUGCGGGUCAUUCCCGUUUCCGGGUUUUACCACCUGCUCUUCAAGCCCAGGUAAGGUUUUUCGUGUUGCGUCGAAUUAAACCACAUACUCCACCGCUUGUGCGGGCCCCCGUCAAUUCCUUUGAGUUUCAACCUUGCGGCCGUACUCCCCAGGCGGUUCACUUAAUGCGUUAGCGUCGGCGCGGAAGGGGUCGAUACCACCCACACCUAGUGAACAUCGUUUACAGCUAGGACUAC